UACAGAGGGGGCAAGCGUUGUUCGGAAUUACUGGGCGUAAAGGGCGCGUAGGCGGCCUGUUAAGUCGAACGUGAAAUCCCCGGGCUCAACCCGGGAACUGCGUCCGAUACUGGCAGGCUUGAAUCCGGGAGAGGGAUGCGGAAUUCCGCGUGUAGUGGUGAAAUGCGUAGAGAUGCGGAAGAACACCAGUGGCGAAGGCGGUCAACUGGCCUCAUAUUGACACUCAGACGCGAAGGCAUGGGUAGCGAACGGG
rnacentral:rRNA from 1 species